rnacentral:snRNA from 1 species
CACUAGAGAUGCUUCCUCCGGU